GGGACGACUUCCUCAGCGUCAGCAGCAAUCAGGGAUAAGGCGAAGGAUGCAGAUUGAGCGGUGACAACAACACAGUUUGUCAUCCUUCUCCCGGACCUCCGACUAGCACGCUACUCAGCAAGGAAUGGACUGUGUGUGUUUCCCGGGCUGCCGAACACGAGAUUGAAGCUUCGAGAACAGCAUGCGUCGCAGUACGGAAUCGCACCGCGUGAUUUUGCACCGUCUAUCACUCUCGUAGGUUGCCCUUUAUUUAAGUGGGAAAUAAUCAUCGAUGUCCCAAGAUGUAAUGCAAGAUCCAACGUGGAACGUUUUGGGUACAACGUUGGGCCAACGUUCAUCCAACGGUUACAACCGCAUGCCAACGUGCGCCCAACGUUGGUGUCUUUACCGAGUGAUGUUUGUUGUUUGGGAUGUUUUUGCCAAUUCACAAAAAUCUGACUACGGUAGUCUGGUGCAGGGUUUCCUAUCGGCACAGGAAUAGUAAUCCAGAUUUUUCGAAUGUUAUUGAUUCGAAUAGUUUGAAAAUAGUUUUUAUCGUUUUCUCAAGCAGAAUUGUUUCCUUGUAGCUGCCACGAGUGGCGUCUUUCCAACGGUGUCCACAUUGUAACUGUGAUUGGAUAGAAUCAGUCACAUGUAGCUUAUUUCACGGUAACGUACUGAUUGUGACUGAUCGUGAUUGGAUAAUUCAGUCUGUCACUUAUACCAUUCACCCUUAUACAGCAGAAAUUUCUCCACAACUCUAGCUGUUGCCUGAUGAUGCUAGUCGUGAUUUUUUUGGCGAAACGUCGUACUCGAAUUGUACAUUUUGUGGGUUUACUCUCCAUAACACCGGUUUGCUGUACUAGUAACAAAUUGGAAUGUUUUGCUUUUUGACAAACCUUACUUGGCGAUCUAACCCCAAAAAACGUAUAUUAUGAACCCAAAUAUAUUAUCAUUAUUGUGUAAUUAGCGCACGAUUCGCAAAAAUAUAAUAAUCGAUAGUUGUGUUCGUGAGCGUAAACAUCGAUGCGAAUCCAUAAAUAAAUAAAUCAUUACACUCUAAGCCUAUUGCUGCUACAAAUUACUUGCUAUACUGCCACUUAAGGCCACUUUUAUAUUAUGAUUUUUUUCCCAGCAUUAUUUAUACACUUGCUUUAGUGAUGCUGCUGUUGUUGUUGCAUUGUUAACAAACAGACAAAAACUCAACACAUUUGUCAAUAACACAGUAGUCUAACAACGCAAAUGCCCUUCAUAGCACGCAGAUCAUUCAUAUGAAAUGAAGAAGGGCUAUUGCCCGAAACGUCGCCAAUUAUAUAUAUAUUUUUACAUUUUAAGACAAUGCUAUUGACGAAUGCAUUUUUUUGUAAACAUACAUUACUUCAUGAUAAUAAUAAUAACAGCGAAACAUAAUAACGACCAGUUGCAUGUGAAACUUAUUAUAUCGUCUCUUGAUUGGCCGACACUCGCAGGGGCCUUUCAGGGAAUCCCCGUACAUACAACGGUCGGGCCGGGUCUCCCAGCCAAUCAGAGGGCUCCGCGUGGCCUUCAAUACAUUUCAAAAGAUUAACCCGGGAGAAUCCACCCUCCCCCUCUCCCUUCCCCCGUGUGCGCUGUUGCAAAUGAGGAGACAUUUAAAAAGAAAUAAAAGCUGAAAGAGAUUAAAUAAAAGGCGUGGUCUU